ACGAAUUAGAAUCCUUUGGAAAGAGGAGCCAUAGACGGUGAUAGCCCGGUAUAAGUAAGGCGUGCGUAGAUAGUGGUAUCCUGAGUAGUGCGGGGCACGUGAAACCCUGUAUGAAUCAAGCGGGACCAUCCGUUAAGGCUAAAUACUCCUGAGAGACCGAUAGUGAACCAGUACCGUGAGGGAAAGGUGAAA
rnacentral:rRNA from 1 species